CAGGUCUUGACAUCUUGCGCCAACCCUAGAGAUAGGGCGUUUCCUUCGGGAACGCAAUGACAGGUGGUGCAUGGUCGUCGUCAGCUCGUGUCGUGAGAUGUUGGGUUAAGUCCCGCAACGAGCGCAACCCUUGUUACUAGUUGCCAGCAUUAAGUUGGGCACUCUAGUGAGACUGCCGGUGACAAACCGGAGGAAGGUGGGGACGACGUCAGAUCAUCAUGCCCCUUAUGACCUGGGCUACACACGUGCUACAAUGGACGGUACAACGAGUCGCGAACUCGCGAGGGCAAGCAAAUCUCUUAAAACCGUUCUCAGUUCGGACUGCAGGCUGCAACUCGCCUGCACGAAGUCGGAAUCGCUAGUAAUCGCGGAUCAGCAUGCCGCGGUGAAUACGUUCCCGGGCCUUGUACACACCGCCCGUCACACCAUGAGAGUUUGUAACACCCAAAGUCGGUGGGGUAACCUUUUAGGAGCCAGCCGCCUAAGGUGGGACAGAUGAUUAGGGUG
rnacentral:rRNA from 1 species